GACGAACGCUGGCGGCGUGCCUAAUACAUGCAAGUAGAACGCUGAAGGAGGAGCUUGCUUCUCUGGAUGAGUUGCGAACGGGUGAGUAACGCGUAGGUAACCUGCCUGGUAGCGGGGGAUAACUAUUGGAAACGAUAGCUAAUACCGCAUAAUAGUAGAUGUUGCAUGACAUUUGCUUAAAAGGUGCAAUUGCAUCACUACCAGAUGGACCUGCGUUGUAUUAGCUAGUUGGUGGGGUAACGGCUCACCAAGGCGACGAUUCAUAGCCGACCUGAGAGGGGGAUCGGCCACACUGGGACUGGGACACGGCCCAGACUCCUACGGGAGGCAGCAGUAGGGAAUCUUCGGCAAUGGACGGAAGUCUGACCGAGCAACGCCGCGUGAGUGAAGAAGGUUUUCGGAUCGUAAAGCUCUGUUGUAAGAGAAGAACGAGUGUGAGAGUGGAAAGUUCACACUGUGACGGUAUCUUACCAGAAAGGGACGGCUAACUACGUG
rnacentral:rRNA from 1 species